rnacentral:tRNA from 1 species
AGAGAGGCUCGCCAGCAACAAAGACUGCUAAUCUUCGUUACCUUAGUUGAACUCCAAGGCUCACUCG